rnacentral:rRNA from 1 species
UACGAAGGGGGCUAGCGUUGUUCGGAAUUACUGGGCGUAAAGGGCGCGUAGGCGGUCCUGAUCGUCGGAUGUGAAAGGCCUGGGCUCAACCUGGGAAUGGCAUCCGAUACGGCGGGACUGGAGUGUGGGAGAGGUUGGUGGAAUUCCCAGUGUAGAGGUGAAAUUCGUAGAUAUUGAAGAACACCGGUGGCGAAGGCGGCCAACUGGACCACAACUGACGCUGAGGCGCGAAAGCGUGGGGAGCAAACAGG